AUUGAACGCUGGCGGCAGGCCUAACACAUGCAAGUCGAACGGUAACAGGAAGAAGCUUGCUUCUUUGCUGACGAGUGGCGGACGGGUGAGUAAUGUCUGGGAAACUGCCUGAUGGAGGGGGAUAACUACUGGAAACGGUAGCUAAUACCGCAUAACGUCUCAAGACCAAAAAGGGGGACCUUCGGGCCUCGUGCCAUCGGAUGUGCCCAGAUGGGAUUAGCUAGUAGGUGGGGUAACGGCUCACCUAGGCGACGAUCCCUAGCUGGUCUGAGAGGAUGACCAGCCACACUGGAACUGAGACACGGUCCAGACUCCUACGGGAGGCAGCAGUGGGGAGUAUUGCACAAUGGGCGCAAGCCUGAUGCAGCCAUGCCGCGUGUAUGAAGAAGGCCUUCGGGUUGUAAAGUACUUUCAGCGGGGAGGAAGGGAGUAAAGUUAAUACCUUUGCUCAUUGACGUUACCCGCAGAAGAAGCACCGGCUAACUACGUG
rnacentral:rRNA from 1 species